GACGAACGCUGGCGGCGUGCUUAACACAUGCAAGUCGAACGGAAAGGCCCUGCUUUUGUGGGGUGCUCGAGUGGCGAACGGGUGAGUAACACGUGAGUAACCUGCCCUUGACUUUGGGAUAACUUCAGGAAACUGGGGCUAAUACCGGAUAGGAGCUCCUGCUGCAUGGUGGGGGUUGGAAAGUUUCGGCGGUUGGGGAUGGACUCGCGGCUUAUCAGCUUGUUGGUGGGGUAGUGGCUUACCAAGGCUUUGACGGGUAGCCGGCCUGAGAGGGUGACCGGCCACAUUGGGACUGAGAUACGGCCCAGACUCCUACGGGAGGCAGCAGUGGGGAAUAUUGCACAAUGGGCGGAAGCCUGAUGCAGCAACGCCGCGUGCGGGAUGACGGCCUUCGGGUUGUAAACCGCUUUCGCCUGUGACGAAGCGUGAGUGACGGUAAUGGGUAAAGAAGCACCGGCUAACUACGUGCCAGCAGCCGCGGUGAUACGUAGGGUGCGAGCGUUGUCCGGAUUUAUUGGGCGUAAAGGGCUCGUAGGUGGUUGAUCGCGUCGGAAGUGUAAUCUUGGGGCUUAACCCUGAGCGUGCUUUCGAUACGGGUUGACUUGAGGAAGGUAGGGGAGAAUGGAAUUCCUGGUGGAGCGGUGGAAUGCGCAGAUAUCAGGAGGAACACCAGUGGCGAAGGCGGUUCUCUGGGCCUUUCCUGACGCUGAGGAGCGAAAGCGUGGGGAGCGAACAGGCUUAGAUACCCUGGUAGUCCACGCUGUAAACGGUGGGUACUAGGUGUGGGGUCCAUUCCACGGGUUCCGUGCCGUAGCUAACGCUUUAAGUACCCCGCCUGGGGAGUACGGCCGCAAGGCUAAAACCCAAAGGAAUUGACGGGGCCCCGCACAAGCGGCGGAGCAUGCGGAUUAAUUCGAUGCAACGCGUAGAACCUUACCUGGGUUUGACAUGGAUCGGGAGUGCUCAGAGAUGGGUGUGCCUCUUUUGGGGUCGGUUCACAGGUGGUGCAUGCCUGUCGUCAGCUCGUGUCGUGAGAUGUUGGGUUAAGUCCCGCAACGAGCGCAACCCUUGUUCACUGUUGCCAGCACGUUAUGGUGGGGACUCAGUGGAGACCGCCGGGGUCAACUCGGAGGAAGGUGGGGAUGACGUCAAGUCAUCAUGCCCCUUAUGUCCAGGGCUUCACGCAUGCUACAAUGGCUGGUACAGAGAGUGGCGAGCCUGUGAGGGUGAGCGAAUCUCGGAAAGCCGGUCUCAGUUCGGAUUGGGGUCUGCGACUCGACCUCAUGAAGUCGGAGUCGCUAGUAAUCGCAGAUCAGCAACGCUGCGGUGAAUACGUUCCCGGGGCU
rnacentral:rRNA from 1 species